rnacentral:rRNA from 1 species
UGAGCAAUCUGCCCUUCACAUCGGAAUAACCAUUGGAAACGAUGGCUAAUACCGAAUAUGACUUCGGAUCGCAUGAUCUGAAGUGGAAAGCUCCGGCGGUGAAGGAUGAGCUCGCGGCCUAUCAGCUUGUUGGUGAGGUAAUGGCUUACCAAGGCGACGACGGGUAGCCGGCCUGAGAGGGUGACCGGCCACACUGGGACUGAGACACGGCCCGGACUCUACGGGA